rnacentral:ncRNA from 1 species
CAAAGGCUUGGUCCUGACUUUACUAUCAACUCGGGCUAAACUUACACAUGCAAGUCUCCGCGCCCCCGUGAGGAUGCCCCACAGCUCUCCACUCGAGAGCAAGGAGCUGGUAUCAGGCACAUCCUAAUGGCCCACGACACCUUGCUCAGCCACGCCCCCAAGGGAAUUCAGCAGUGAUAGACAUUAAGCAAUGAGCGAAAGCUCGACUUAGUUAUAAGCCCAGAGGGCCGGUAAAACUCGUGCCAGCCACCGCGGUUAUACGAGAGGCCCAAGUGGAUAGUCCACGGCGUAAAGAGUGGUUAAGAAUUACAAGUACUAAAGUCGAAUGCCCCCAGAGCUGUUAUACGCUUCCGAGGGCAAGAAGAACUACUACGAAAGUGGCUUUACAAUAUCCGAACCCACGAAAGCUAGGGAACAAACUGGGAUUAGAUACCCCACUAUGCCUAGCCCUAAACAUUGAUAGGCCAUCACAGCCCUAUCCGCCAGGGUACUACAAGCACCAGCUUAAAACCCAAAGGACUUGGCGGUGCUUUAGACCCACCUAGAGGAGCCUGUUCUAGAACCGAUACCCCCCGUUCAACCUCACCCUCCCUUGUUUACCCCGCCUAUAUACCGCCGUCGUCAGCUUACCCUGUGAAGGAUAAAAAGUAAGCAAAAUUGGCAGAGCCCAAAACGUCAGGUCGAGGUGUAGCGAAUGGGAGGGGAAGAAAUGGGCUACAUUCGUUAGUUUAACGAAUUACGGAAGCCGUGAUGAAAACGCACGGCCAAAGGAGGAUUUAGCAGUAAACAGAGAGUAGAGUGCUCUGCUGAAACAGGCCCUGAAGCGCGCACACACCGCCCGUCACUCUCCCCUAUUUCUACCCGCAAGAUUCCUAAUGACAUAAAGAGCCAGAGGGGAGGCAAGUCGUAACAUGGUAAGUGUACCGGAAGGUGUACUUGGAAAAAU